rnacentral:snRNA from 1 species
GUGCUCACUUUGGCAGUACAUAUAACAAAAUCAUCGGAAUGAAGCAGAGAAGAUUAGCACGGCCUCUGUGCAAGGAUGACAUGCAAAUUUGUGAAGCGUUCCAUUUGUUU